rnacentral:rRNA from 1 species
AUUGAACGCUAGCGGGAUGCCUUACACAUGCAAGUCGCACGGAGUGGCGAACGGGUGAGUAAUGUAUCGGAACGUGCCCAGUCGCGGGGGAUAACUACGCGACAGCGUAGCUAAUCACACAUACUAUUGGAGCGGCCGAUAUGGGAUUAGCUAGUUGGUGGGGUAACGACUAACCAAGGCGACGAUCCGUAGCUGGUUUGAGAGGACGACCAGCACGACUGGGACGGAGACACGGCCCAGACUCCUACGUAAGGCAGCAGUGGGGAAUGUUGUGCAAUGGGGGAAACCCUGAUCCAGCCAUCCGGCGUGAGCGAUGAAGGCCUGCGGGUUGUAAAGCACUUUUGGCAGGAAAGCGGUACCUGCAGAAUAAGCACCGGCUAACUACGUGCCAGCCGCCGCGGUAAUAC